UCAGUCAGUUACGCGUCAUUGUUCAGUGAAGCCGCAAGUGAUAAAGUUGGUUUUAAUAGCGAAGUGAUAACAAAAUGAAUUUUUAUUUCAUUAACGUGAUUUUAUUUUUAAUCACCUUGCUGAUUGUUGGUUCAAAAGAAGUGGAAUCAAGGAGUGUUGAACGUCAUAGGUGUCGCUACGACUGUCUGUCAUACUGCCAGACAAGUGGGAAGAGCGAUGGAUACUGCGGUCAUAGGUCUUGUAUAUGUCGACAGUCUAUACAACCAAAGAUGUGAUCUUCAUCAAUGCUACAUCAAAAAUUAUUGACCGUCAUAGGCGCUACGAUGACAGUCUGUCCUAUACUUAAGCCCGUGGUGUUAUAGCAGGACAUAAUAUGUCAAUAGCGUCAUGGAUACUGCAGUGGUCUAAGAGCCUGUAUAUGUUGAGAAUCUGUAAAACUACGGUAAUUUUGGAGACCACCAAACUCUAUUAAGGAGUUUUUAUAAAGUCUGUUUUAUUGUCAGACCAAAAUAACAGAUGUUUUAUGUAUUACUUGUUAAUUUUUAUGAAAUAUCUUAAAUUGUUCUGUA